rnacentral:rRNA from 1 species
UACGUAGGUGGCAAGCGUUGUCCGGAUUUACUGGGCGUAAAGGGCGUGCAGGCGGUUUGUUAAGUGCAGGGUGAAAGCCCCCGGCUCAACUGGGGAGGGUCACGCGAUACUGAUCGACUCGAAGGCAGGAGAGGGUAGUGGAAUUCCCGGUGUAGUGGUGAAAUGCGUAGAUAUCGAGAGGAACACCUGCGGCGAAGGCGGGUUGCUGGGCUGACACUGACGCUGAGGCGCGAAAGCUAGGGGAGCGAACGGG